ACAGGACGGAAAGACCCCAUGGAGCUUUACUGUAGCUUGACAUUGGGUCUUGGUACUACAUGUACAGGAUAGGUGGGAGGCUUUGAAACCAGGACGCCAGUUUUGGCGGAGCCAUCCUUGGGAUACCACCCUUGUAGUACUGGGACUCUAACCAUAGGCCAUGAAUCUGGUCUUGGGACACUGUCAGGUGGGCAGUUUGACUGGGGCGGUCGCCUCCCAAAAGGUAACGGAGGCGCUCAAAGGUUCUCUCAGUACGGUCGGAAAUCGUACGUAGAGUGUAAAGGCAAAAGAGAGCUUGAUUGCAAGACAUACAGGUCGAGCAAGGAUGAAAAUCGGACUUAGUGAUCCGGUGGUUCUGCGUGGAAGGGCCAUCGCUCAACGGAUAAAAGCUACCCUGGGGAUAACAGGCUUAUCUCCCCCAAGAGUCCACAUCGACGGGGAGGUUUGGCACCUCGAUGUCGGCUCAUCACAUCCUGGGGCUGUAGUAGGUCCCAAGGGUUGGGCUGUUCGCCCAUUAAAGUGGUACGCGAGCUGGGUUCAGAACGUCGUGAGACAGUUCGGUCCCUAUCCGUCGCAGGCGUAGGAAAUUUGAGAAGACCUGUCCUUAGUACGAGAGGACCGGGAUGGACGUACCUCUGGUGUACCAGUUGUUCUGCCAAGGGCAUGGCUGGGUAGCUAUGUACGGAAUGGAUAAGCGCUGAAAGCAUCUAAGCGCGAAGCCAACUUCAAGAUAAGAUUUCCCACCGCAAGGGUAAGACCCCAGAAAGACUAUCUGGUUGAUAGGUCGAAGGUGUAAGUGCAGCAAUGUAUUUAGCUUAUCGAUACUAAUAGGUCGAGGACUUGACCAA
rnacentral:rRNA from 1 species